rnacentral:rRNA from 1 species
UGGGAACCUUCCCUAUGGUUCGGAAUAGCUCAGGGAAACUUGGGGUAAUACCGGAUAAGCCCUUCGGGGAAAGAUUUAUCGCCUUUGGAUGGGCCCGCGUCGGAUUAGCUAGUUGGUGAGGUAACGGCUCACCAAGGCAACGAUCCGUAGCUGGUCUGAGAGGAUGAUCAGCCACACUGGGACUGAGACACGGCCCAGACUCCUACGGGAGGCAG